rnacentral:rRNA from 1 species
GACGAACCGUGCGAACGUUAUUCGGAAUCACUGGGCUUAAAGCGCGUGUAGGCGGGCCGGCACGUCCGACGCUGAAAUCCCCCGGCUCAACCGGGGAACGGGCUCGGAUACGACCGGCCUCGAGGGACGUAGGGGGACCUGGAACUUCCGGUGGAGCGGUGAAAUGCGUUGAGAUCGGAAGGAACGCCCGUGGCGAAAGCGAGGUCCUGGACGUUUUCUGACGCUGAGGCACGAAGGCCAGGGGAGCAAACGGG